UCCGAGACUGCUGGAGGUCUACAAAGCAGCAACCAAAUCUGGAAAGAAGCAGCCACUCAAAGACACUUUGGACUGCCUUGCAAAAGAUGACACAAAUGAAAGGAGAAGAGCUGCUGGCGAAGAUCCAUCAACUGUCAUCAGGAUGUGUGAUGCCCAUGCUGAUUUUCUGGAUGAUGCCAUGAAGGGGAUGCAGGUUGGUCUCCUGAUUGCCUGUGAAGCUGGUGAACAGGGAGCCCAUCCCACACGAGGUCUUCGAUAUGGCAGUUGUGGUGGAGGAGACCAUUGUGCUUCACAACAUUAAAGAUGUGACACUUGGMUUUGCUACGCUUAUGGGUGUCAUCUACUGUGUCAAUCUCAAGUAUCCAGAUGACAUGAAGUACUCGUUUGAGUUUCUUCAGAGAGUGGUGAUGAAGAUCAAACCAGACCAGGCCUCAGCUCGACUACAUGGUUUGAGAAACAAAAUCCUGAGGUACAAACUGUAACAUVUGGUAUGUUUUCAGUUUUAU